ACAAAACUCUGUAAUUGAAAACCCUAGUAAGUAGUGAGUGCUGAAGAGAGAGGGAGAGAGAUGGGAUGUAGCAGUGGAGUUCCUGCUGAACUUUACCACUCGAAGCUAAUAACCGAGACGAGGAGCCAGAUCGAGAACCUGGAGAAGGAAUUUCCGCAUCUUCAAAGCCUUUCUCAAGGAAUCCGUGAAGAAGCAGAGAGAGGAUGAGCACACGAAGGCGCUGGUGCAGAACAUUCGCGACGUCGUUUAUGAGGUGGAAGAUGUGGUCGAUCUCUUCGUAACCAAGGCUAACCUCAGAAUCGAACGAAGACAUAUCUGAUAAACCUCAGGUCACCUUUAAUUAUCUCUGAUUCUAAUUUACUUUUCCCCAAUUUGAGUCAGAUAAUAUUCCCUCUUAUAUUAAUUUGGGGUAAUUGCGCUUCAAUAUGACCUCACACUCUAUAAACUCAACAUUCCUUUUGAUUUUAGUGCAAAAAAUGUCAGAUGCUUCACAAUUUGAUAGUUGUAAAAAAAUUGGCAUGUAAUUUACCUCAAGGUGAAAAGAAUGAUGUUAACAUCUAUUAGAAUCCGUGUGUUAAAUAUUUUCAAUCAGGCUCGGCCGAGUUUAACAUCUAUUGGAAUUAGAAUUCGGUGUGUUUAAUAUUUUCGAUCAGGCUUGGCCGUUAAGAGAGAGACGUGGUAGGCUUCGAAGGACUAUAAUAAAGCAACCGAUUCAAGAAACCUUUUAUCUUGAUGUCGUUUUGCUCACUGGUAUGUUUGGGCUGGGUAAGAUGCGGUGGCGAGGAAGAUUUACAAAGCCAUUCUAAAAAACUUCACUACUAUAACCAAGGAUGUAUGAGAAAAAGAUGAGUAGGAGUUAGGUCGAGAUGUUGCUGCUCGUCUCGAGGAAAUAUGUUUUUUUUGUUUGUUUGGUGAUGGAUGAUGCCUAGAAUCAAGCUGAUUGGGACAUACUCAGUGAGUGUGCUUUGCCGCUGAACGAUAAAAAAGAUAAAAUCUUGAUCACCGGUCGUAGUGAGGAUGUUAGUGCGUAUCUUAGUUGCCCAAGAGCUUCCCACAAGUUGUUGCUCUGGUUGGAUGCACUCUAUAAUUUGGACUGCUGUCUUAACUUGGUGGGUGUUGGGUAGGUAAUUGCAAAAAAAUGUGAUGAAUUGUCACUUUCAGUGGUCAGAUAUGAGUUUGAAUGAAGAAACAAAGAAAGAGUGGGAUGAGCUGUCUACACAGUUGAACAUAUUUUGCAAAGAAGACCAUGCGGAUUGUUGUGUGAACAAGUUUAUAUCAUUGAGUUAUGAUAGCAUGUGGAGUGAGCAAAUUUAUAUCAUUGAGUUAUGAUAGCAUAUGGAUCGGAGAAGGAUUUAUACAAAAAAAUAAUGAUUUCAGCUUGCAGUGGACUGUAGAGAAAUUCUUGAAAGAUCGUAUGAACAAAAACUUAGUCACAAUUGGUGAGAUCAGACCAUAUAGUAAGGUAAAACUAUGCCUGGUUUCAUGAUGCAAGUUAAAAAUGAAAACUUCAUGAAUUUUGCUUUCGUCCUGCAGAAUUCAUGCAAUGUAUUAUGAAUUCGGCAUGUUUUCACCUUACUAUAUGGUUUGAUCUUGUUAAUUGUAACCAAGUUUUUGUUUAUAAGACUUCUCUGCAGUUUCCUCCAAGCUAUAAUCAUUACCUUUUUAAUUUUUUUUUGUAUGAAUUCUUCUCCAAUCCACAUGCUAAUCAAUCUCGACACUCGAAUUCAUAGUCCUCGGGAAACACCCCAGAUAGAGAAAGCAUUCACGCAAGUUGUAAGGUAGUCUAUCAUAACUCAAUGAUAUAAACUUGUUCACACGAUUUGCAGGGUCUUCUUCAAAAAAUGUGCUGACUUGUGUGGACACUUCGUCUCACUCUUCCUUGGUUAAACUCAUAUCUGAGGCUGAAUACCAUGUGGCAAAGAUACCGCUUAUGAUUAUUACUUCUAAAAGUGGCAGUCCAUUACAAUUUUUUUACAAUUGUCUACCUAACACUUACAGGGUCUUCUUUAAAAAAUGUGCUGACUUGUGUGGACACUUCGUCCCACUCUUCCUUUGUUAAACUCAUAUCUGAGGCUGAAUACCAUGUGGCAAAGAUACCACUUAUGAUUAUUACUUCUUAAAGUGGCAGUCCAUUACAAUUUUUUGCAAUUAUCUACCCAACACUUACGGAGUGCUUCCAACCUUAGCAACAACUUUUCGGUAGCUCUCGGGCAACUAACAUACGCGCCAAUAUCCUCAUUACGACUGGUGAUCAAGAUUUUACCUUUUUCAUUGUUCAGUGGCAGAGCAACACGGAGUCUGUCCCAAUCAUCUUGAUUCCGGAAAGACAUCCUUGUUUGAGAACUCUUGAGAAAUAUAUAGCCAUAUACAGAAAGAGAACUUGAAGAUGAUUGCCGGAUCAUAUGAUGGAUGGAGAAAUUUCCGGUUUUGACCUACAUGAUCGAGAUAGUUUCUAAAUAUUGAUGAUGAUGACUUGGCUGACAUGUAUGAUGACUAUAUGCCCGAUGCUGAAGACACACGACAUAAUGAGAACACCGGGUGGUCUUCUUGUGCAAGGUAAUGUGCUUACUCAAAAUAAAUGAGUAAGCAAGCACAAAAGCAACGGUUUCCAAGUAUCCGCAAUAUGUAUUUAUUAAAGAGGCAGAGUGUGGAAGGAAUGCUCCCUUUGUGGACAACCUCUUAAUUGGCAAAUCACGCAAGGAAGCAUCGAGGAUUGUUUUUUGAAACACUGGUCAUUAAAACAAGAGGCUACAUCCAUGUGAAUGAGCGGAUUCCAUUUGGCGAUAUUACCACCAUAAGACCCUGAACGAGGCUUGAUCAAAUCCGACUUCUAAACCACAUCUGUGCCGGAAAGUUUCAGAAACAUAUUCAAGAAGUAGACGGGAACUCUAGAAUGCAGGAGCUCAGCCUCUCCUGCUCUCUCGCUCUCUCUCUCAUUUAUUUGUGGAACUAGAUUCAUUCUUUCCAUGUGAUGCUUUCAGAGAUACUUAGCUGGUUGUUGCAUGUAACUGUUCAACAGUUCAACUCAGUAGAUUGUUUUAUCCAAUCAUACUAUAUCUUGUAUCAUAUAUUUAUAUGUAUAUAUUUAUAUAUCUUGUAAUUUCAAAGUUUUUGCGGCAAUUAA